rnacentral:misc_RNA from 1 species
UGGUAAACAAAUCCACAAGCAAUUCUUUCACUGAAAUAAAACAAAUGAGUUCCAGUUCUCAACCAUUCUGGCAUCUCAACAAAACAUCAGGUCUAAGAAAUGUUCUCAUUAUGAUUUAUAUAUCUAACACAGAUAAAUAAAAGCUAUGAUCAUAAACAACAUAUGUAUAAGGCCUGUAUAUCACUUUAAAAUGGUGUUCCGAGUUGGAUGGGUAAUGACUAGGAGCUUGAAAACUAAUGAAUGAAUGCACUGAACAAAACAAAUACAAAGCACCAGAAAUUGUAAGACAAAUAAAAAGCAACAGUAGCCAUCUUAUCCUUCAUAUCCUAUUGAUUGGACUCUGAAUUUGAAGAUGCGUUUCCAUUUUGUUGUUGUGGCUGCGGCUGCGGCUGCAAUUGAUGCAUGUUCAUUGGGGAGGGUGAUUGUUGCUGUUGCUGCAGCUGGGACAUCUGGGCG